UACGAGGGGGGCAAGCGUUGUUCGGAAUUAUUGGGCGUAAAGGGCGCGUAGGCGGUGCGGUAAGUCUGAUGUGAAAUCUCCGGGCUCAACUCGGAGUCUGCAUCAGAAACUGCCGUGCUUGAGUGUGGGAGAGGUGAGUGGAAUUCCCGGUGUAGCGGUGAAAUGCGUAGAUAUCAUUUGGAACACCAAUGGUGAAAACAGCUCGCUGGGAGUGUGCUGACGCUGAGACACGAAAGCGUGGGUAGCAAACAGG
rnacentral:rRNA from 1 species